GACGAACGCUGGCGGCGUGCUUAACACAUGCAAGUCGAACGAUGAACCUCCUUCGGGAGGGGAUUAGUGGCGAACGGGUGAGUAACACGUGGGCAAUCUGCCCUUCACUCUGGGACAAGCCCUGGAAACGGGGUCUAAUACCGGAUACGACACGGGGUCGCAUGACCUCCGUGUGGAAAGCUCCGGCGGUGAAGGAUGAGCCCGCGGCCUAUCAGCUUGUUGGUGGGGUGAUGGCCUACCAAGGCGACGACGGGUAGCCGGCCUGAGAGGGCGACCGGCCACACUGGGACUGAGACACGGCCCAGACUCCUACGGGAGGCAGCAGUGGGGAAUAUUGCACAAUGGGCGAAAGCCUGAUGCAGCGACGCCGCGUGAGGGAUGACGGCCUUCGGGUUGUAAACCUCUUUCAGCAGGGAAGAAGCGAGAGUGACGGUACCUGCAGAAGAAGCGCCGGCUAACUACGUGC
rnacentral:rRNA from 1 species